rnacentral:rRNA from 2 species
UGCAGACGACGCGGGGGGUGCUAUACAUGCAAGUCGAGCGGACAGAAGGGAGCUUGCUCCCGGAUGUUAGCGGCGGACGGGUGAGUAACACGUGGGUAACUGCCUGUAAGACUGGGAUAACUCCGGGAAACCGGAGCUAAUACCGGAUAGUUCCUUGAACCGCAUGGUUCAAGGAUGAAAGACGGUUUCGGCUGUCACUUACAGAUGGACCCGCGGCGCAUUAGCUAGUUGGUGGGGUAAUGGCUCACCAAGGCGACGAUGCGUAGCCGACCUGAGAGGGUGAUCGGCCACACUGGGACUGAGACACGGCCCAGACUCCUACGGGAGGCAGCAGUAGGGAAUCUUCCGCAAUGGACGAAAGUCUGACGGAGCAACGCCGCGUGAGUGAUGAAGGUUUUCGGAUCGUAAAGCUCUGUUGUUAGGGAAGAACAAGUGCGAGAGUAACUGCUCGCACCUUGACGGUACCUAACCAGAAAGCCACGGCUAACUACGUGCCAGCAGCCGCGGUAAUACGUAGGUGGCAAGCGUUGUCCGGAAUUAUUGGGCGUAAAGGGCUCGCAGGCGGUUUCUUAAGUCUGAUGUGAAAGCCCCCGGCUCAACCGGGGAGGGUCAUUGGAAACUGGGAAACUUGAGUGCAGAAGAGGAGAGUGGAAUUCCACGUGUAGCGGUGAAAUGCGUAGAGAUGUGGAGGAACACCAGUGGCGAAGGCGACUCUCUGGUCUGUAACUGACGCUGAGGAGCGAAAGCGUGGGGAGCGAACAGGAUUAGAUACCCUGGUAGUCCACGCCGUAAACGAUGAGUGCUAAGUGUUAGGGGGUUUCCGCCCCUUAGUGCUGCAGCUAACGCAUUAAGCACUCCGCCUGGGGAGUACGGUCGCAAGACUGAAACUCAAAGGAAUUGACGGGGGCCCGCACAAGCGGUGGAGCAUGUGGUUUAAUUCGAAGCAACGCGAAGAACCUUACCAGGUCUUGACAUCCUCUGACAACCCUAGAGAUAGGGCUUUCCCUUCGGGGACAGAGUGACAGGUGGUGCA